rnacentral:sRNA from 1 species
UAUUCAAAGACAGUAACUUUAGAGGGAUUUUCAGUUGCUAUGACACAGUUGCUUGGAAUUAAUCUGGGAUUGACAUAUGAUGACAUCUACAACUGUAACUGUCCAGGAGCUACAUGCGUAAUGAAUUCUAAGGCAAUAUACAUAAAAGAGGACAUGUUUGCAGGAAAAGCAUAGAUCUGUGUGGUUUUACAGAAUAUUACAAUGGAACAUCUGAGUUUUGUGUACCUGAUGUGAAAUCUGCUGAUUAUGAGCUAUGCAAUAAGACUGCCUAUUGUCUUAGAGGAAUAUUCCAAGAUAGGGAUGGACAGUGCAUGCAAUUAUUUGGACAAUUUGCUCAGGGUGCUCCUUAUCUGUGUUCACAAGAAGUGAAUUUGCAUGCCAACAAUUUUGGAAACUGUAAAACUAGUUCCUAUAAUUUCGAACGUGUCCUUUGUGCAAAGCUAGUUUGUCACUGGAAAAGUACAGAACUAAUACGACAUAAAGAUGAUGAUGCUUAAUAUACUUACCUUGGAAACCAUGUAUGUGUGUCUACAUUUUUACGAAAUUCAUGUGGUAGCAUAAAGGAUAACUCCUAUGUAAAAAAUGGUACUUUUUGUGGUCUAGAAAAGUUAUGUGAUAAUGGAGUUUGCCAACUUGUGAGCACAUAUGCAGAUAGAAGACAAGGUAACUCGGAAGAAAAAUGCGGUGGACAUGGGGUUUGCAAUACUCUGAAUAAUUGUCAACGUGAUGUUGCAUAUUCUCCUUAAACUUGUAGGCAAGAUAGUUCAUCACCAGGAGGAAGUAUUGAUGAUGGGUUUUGGAUUUGAAAAAGUACACCCUUGUUUGUGAAAUGACAUGCUGUUCCUCAGAAAAACGGCCUUUAAUCAGUUGCUACAUUUUUCUACCUUUCCUCAUUUUAACUGCCAUCAUUGGUCUUAAAUGGAACAAAAUGAAGAGAUUUUGGCACUGAGCAAAAAGUGUAAGUGGAAG